CAUUGAUCAUAUAUAACUUGAUUACAAAUAUAUAUAAUGAUUAUUUUUUUAAUAUAGGUAAUAACAUAAACUUUAGUGGAAUUUGUAGUUAUACUUUUUUGUAAUUUUUUGUGUAAUGUUUGUAUUUGUACCCAAUUUUGCCUGCAACAAACUAUUUUGAUAGCCACAUCAAAACAUAGUACAAUAUCGUAUCUAAUAAUACGUUGUCCUCCUUGCUGCUUAUUUACAUCUUUACGAAGAAAUUCUCUACAUUGAAUUUAGCGUGAGCAGAAGCUUUGUGUAACAGAACGUCUUUCAUUGAUAAAACAGCAUGGUCAGCAAUCAGCAUGUAUUUGAAAAUUCAGGCAGAAUCGUUUUUAAUAGUACUUUAUAGUUUGCAAGAAAAGGUAUGUUUAAAAAUCUAUCAAUAUGUAGCAUUUUAUCUGCACUAGCAAAAAGAGGAAGGCAGAAAUGAGCAUAGUCUUAAAAUUCACACAUACACAUUAUAUUUUCAUACAAUUAUAUUUGUAUGAUUUUAGUGUUUGAUAGAAUAAGCUGAUAAUAAACGAACAAUGAACAAUACACAUUAAUGAAUAGAUUUAUUAUUGUCCAUAAAGAUUUUUGAACGUCUUCCUUUACAAAACAUUACUCCAGAUAAACGACAUCUUCUUUUUUUCAUAUGGUGACGCAGCUAACGCUUUUCCUUUUUGUUUUCCAGUUCAAUUGGAUUCUCCAAAGAUUCGCCAUUCAACCACAACCAUUUUGCACAGCAGGAAGAAAAAAAACACAAUAUGAAGAAAAGAACAAGGCCAUAUUUCAACCCUUUCAUACUUUACACAACAGCCCAAGACAAGCUUGACGUCCAAUUCUUCAAGUUUCAAAGUAGAUUUACUGCCAGUACAUCAUUCCUAUGGCACAGCUAUAUUUAUACCAUCAAGCAUCAAGUGUUUUUAAGCACAGACAUCAAGCUUCUUAACAGCUUGAGUUUACUAAAUGGAUUCGUGCUGUUCUUAGUUUGGAUAAUACCUUUCAAAGUCUUUAAGCAACAAGAGAACACUUGACGGAAAAAAAAUGAUUAGAACCGAAAGCCGUGUCCUAUUACUAUAUGUUGCUUUAUUGGUUAAAUGGGUAUUCAGUGUUCUAUGUUUUGCCAAUAAUUUUGCUAUUGUUUGGUUCAUUUUAGACACAGCUUGAGCAUAAUUAUAUUUUGUAUCGGUGUUCAACUGCAUUGAGCAUCAAGUGCUUUUAUAAACUGUAGUGACAACAUGUUUAAUUACGUAGCGUUGCCAAAUGGAAUAGAAUCUUCUAACUUUGCAAAACAGCAUUCACAAAAAAUGAACAUUCGAAACUACUUGUUUUUAUACAUACAAAAUUUUUUGUCUGAGUAAUCUUCACAUGCUCCUUUAAAUAAAAUCGUUACAGUUGUA